GCCUCCGUAGCUCAGUGGUUAGAGCACUGGUCUUGUAAACCAGGGGUCGGGAGUUCGAUUCUCCCCGGGGGCA
rnacentral:tRNA from 1 species